GCAGUCGACGGCAGCAUGAUCUAGCUUGCUAGAUUGAUGGCGAGUGGCGAACGGGUGAGUAAUACAUCGGAACGUGCCCUGUAGUGGGGGAUAACUAGUCGAAAGAUUAGCUAAUACCGCAUACGACCUGAGGGUGAAAGUGGGGGACCGCAAGGCCUCAUGCUAUAGGAGCGGCCGAUGUCUGAUUAGCUAGUUGGUGAGGUAAAGGCUCACCAAGGCGACGAUCAGUAGCUGGUCUGAGAGGACGAUCAGCCACACUGGGACUGAGACACGGCCCAGACUCCUACGGGAGGCAGCAGUGGGGANUUUUGGACAAUGGGGGCAACCCUGAUCCAGCAAUGCCGCGUGUGUGAAGAAGGCCUUCGGGUUGUAAAGCACUUUUGUCCGGAAAGAAAUCGCACUUACUAAUAUUAGGUGUGGAUGACGGUACCGGAAGAAUAAGGACCGGCUAACUACGUGCCAGCAGCCGCGGUAAUACGUAGGGUCCAAGCGUUAAUCGGAAUUACUGGGCGUAAAGCGUGCGCAGGCGGUUGUGCAAGACCGAUGUGAAAUCCCCGGGCUUAACCUGGGAAUUGCAUUGGUGACUGCACGGCUAGAGUGUGUCAGAGGGGGGUAGAAUUCCACGUGUAGCAGUGAAAUGCGUAGAGAUGUGGAGGAAUACCGAUGGCGAAGGCAGCCCCCUGGGAUAACACUGACGCUCAUGCACGAAAGCGUGGGGAGCAAACAGGAUUAGAUACCCUGGUAGUCCACGCCCUAAACGAUGUCAACUAGUUGUUGGGGAUUCAUUUCCUUAGUAACGUAGCUAACGCGUGAAGUUGACCGCCUGGGGAGUACGGUCGCAAGAUUAAAACUCAAAGGAAUUGACGGGGACCCGCACAAGCGGUGGAUGAUGUGGAUUAAUUCGAUGCAACGCGAAAAACCUUACCUACCCUUGACAUGCCACUAACGAAGCAGAGAUGCAUUAGGUGCUCGAAAGAGAAAGUGGACACAGGUGCUGCAUGGCUGUCGUCAGCUCGUGUCGUGAGAUGUUGGGUUAAGUCCCGCAACGAGCGCAACCCUUGUCUCUAGUUGCUACGAAAGGGCACUCUAGAGAGACUGCCGGUGACAAACCGGAGGAAGGUGGGGAUGACGUCAAGUCCUCAUGGCCCUUAUGGGUAGGGCUUCACACGUCAUACAAUGGUGCAUACAGAGGGUUGCCAAGCCGCGAGGUGGAGCUAAUCCCAGAAAAUGCAUCGUAGUCCGGAUCGUAGUCUGCAACUCGACUACGGGAGCUGAAUCGCUAGAAUCGCG
rnacentral:rRNA from 1 species